GGCUCAGUAGUGCAGUGGUUAGCACGCAAGAUUGUCAAUCUUGCAGCCGGGGUUCAAUUCCCUGCGGAGCCG
rnacentral:tRNA from 1 species